UGAGUAACCUGCCCCAUGCUUUGGGAUAACCCUCGGAAACGGGGGCUAAUACCGAAUAUUCACUUCUGGUCGCAUGGCUGGUUGUGGAAAGUUUUUUCGGCGUGGGAUGGGCUCGCGGCCUAUCAGCUUGUUGGUGGGGUGAUGGCCUACCAAGGCGACGACGGGUAGCCGGCCUGAGAGGGCGACCGGCCACACUGGGACUGAGACACGGCCCAGACUCCGUACGGGAGGCAG
rnacentral:rRNA from 1 species